GUCCACCACCGUGCCAUCCUGAACGUGUUUGAUCUCAUCUGAUCUCAGGAGCUAAGCAGGGUCGGACCUGGUUAGUACUUGAAUGGGAGACCACGUGGGAAUACCGGGUGCUGUAGGCU
ensembl:rRNA 5S_rRNA 5S ribosomal RNA